rnacentral:rRNA from 1 species
UAGUGAUUAACGCGAAGAACCUUACCUGGGCUAGACAACGGCGGACAGUCCUAGAAAUAGGGCCUUCCCUUCGGGGACCGCCGGUUCAGGUGCUGCAUGGCUGUCGUCAGCUCGUGCCGUGAGGUGUUGGGUUAAGUCCCGCAACGAGCGCAACCCUCGCCCUUAGUUGCCACCAUUCAGUUGGGCACUCUAGGGGGACUGCCGGCGUUAAGCCGGAGGAAGGUGGGGACGACGUCAAGUCAUCAUGGCCCUUAUGUCCAGGGCCACACACGUGCUACAAUGGGCGGUACAAAGGGUCGCGAACCCGCGAGGGGGAGCCAAUCCCAAAAAGCCGCUCUCAGUUCGGAUUGGAGUCUGCAACUCGACUCCAUGAAGUUGGAAUCGCUAGUAAUCGCGGAUCAGCACGCCGCGGUGAAUACGUUCCCGGGCCUUGUCACACCGAAUCGAAUUC